rnacentral:rRNA from 1 species
UACGUAGGGUGCAAGCGUUAAUCGGAAUUACUGGGCGUAAAGCGUGCGCAGGCGGUUGUGUAAGUCUGUCGUGAAAUCCCCGGGCUCAACCUGGGAAUUGCGAUGGAGACUGCACGGCUAGAGUGUGUCAGAGGGGGGUAGAAUUCCACGUGUAGCAGUGAAAUGCGUAGAUAUGUGGAGGAACACCGAUGGCGAAGGCAGCCCCCUGGGAUAACACUGACGCUCAGGCACGAAAGCGUGGGGAGCAAACAGG